UACGGGGAGUGCAAGCGUUGUUCGGAAUUAUUGGGCGUAAAGCGCGUGUAGGCGGCCUGUAAAGUCUGGAGUGAAAGCCCUCGGCUCAACCGAGGAAGAGCUUUGGAUACUGACAGGCUUGAGUUCUGGAGGGGCGAGUGGAAUUCCCAGUGUAGAGGUGAAAUUCGUAGAUAUUGGGAGGAACACCAGUGGCGAAGGCGACUCGCUGGACAGUGACUGACGCUGAGACGCGAAAGCGUGGGGAGCAAACAGG
rnacentral:rRNA from 1 species